AACAUGCUCCCUCCGUCCCAAAAUUCUUGUCUUAGGUUUAUCUAAAAAUAAAUGUAUCUAAAUAUUAAAACAUGACUAGAUACAUUUAUAUCUAGACAAAUCUAAGACAAGAAUUUUAGGACAGAGGAAGUACAAA
rfam:Hordeum vulgare subsp. vulgare, WGS project CAJW01000000 data, contig: morex_contig_1567264